GAUGAAGAACGCAGCGAAAUGCGAUAAGUAAUGUGAAUUGCAGAAUUCAGUGAAUCAUCGAAUCCUUGAACGCACAUUGCGCCCCUUGGUAUUCCGAGGGGCAUGCCUGUUCGAGCGUCAUUAUCACCCCUCAAGCUUUGCUUGGUGUUGGGGCCUGCUGUAAUAGGCAGCCCUUAAAAUCAGUGGCGGUGCUUCAAGGCUCUAAGCGUAGUAAUUCUCCUCGCUAUAGUGUCUAGUGGUUGCCAGCCAGAACCCCCCAAUUUUCAUGAUUGACCUCGGAUCAGGUAGGGAUACCCGCUGAACUUAAGCAUAUCAAUAAGCGGAGGA
rnacentral:misc_RNA from 1 species